CCAAGUGUUCAUUAAGCAUAGAACUAGGGCAGUAAAUAAAGAAUAUAAGUGCAAUUUUCCCUAUAAAUUAGGUAUCUUUUAAAAGCCCUACAUCAUCCAAUCUGAAAAUCAUAAGCCACGAAGAAGUUCAUAUGAAUUGUAACCAUUGUACUGAAAUAGUUAUAAUUAGGGUUCCUUUAAUAGUCCCAUCAUCAUUAAAUGUCGAAGAACAUAGCCAUAAAGAAUUUCACUUUAGAUAUAACAAUUGUAGGUUGCCUAUAUAUUCUCAUUUAAAAAAAAAAAAAAACAUUCAAUUAUAGUAUCUACAAAUCAAGUUCUCUUUUAUAUUCAACUUGUAAACUAUUAAUCCAAGACACGACCAUCUGCAAAGCAAGAAAUAGCAG
rnacentral:lncRNA from 1 species